UACGAAGGGGGCUAGCGUUGCUCGGAAUUACUGGGCGUAAAGGGAGCGUAGGCGGGUCGUCAAGUUGGGGGUGAAAGCCCAGGGCUCAACCUUGGAAUUGCCUUCAAAACUGACGAUCUAGAGUAUGGAAGAGGUAAGUGGAACUCCGAGUGUAGAGGUGAAAUUCGUAGAUAUUCGGAAAGAACACCAGUGGCGAAGGCGACUUACUGGUCCAUGACUGACGCUGAGGCUCGAAAGCGUGGGGAGCAAACAGG
rnacentral:rRNA from 1 species